UACGUAGGGGGCAAGCGUUGUCCGGAAUCAUUGGGCGUAAAGCGCGCGCAGGCGGCUCUCUAAGUCCAUGGGUAAAAGGCCGGGGCUCAACCCCGUGUACGCCCAGGAUACUGGGGAGCUGGAGACACGUAGAGGCAAGCGGAAUUCCGGGUGUAGCGGUGGAAUGCGUAGAGAUCCGGAAGAACACCGGAGGCGAAGGCGGCUUGCUGGGCGUGAUCUGACGCUGAGGCGCGAAAGCGUGGGUAGCAAACAGG
rnacentral:rRNA from 1 species